rnacentral:rRNA from 1 species
CCUACGGGUGGCAGCAGUGAGGAAUAUUGGUCAAUGGACGAGAGUCUGAACCAGCCAAGUAGCGUGAAGGAUGACUGCCCUAUGGGUUGUAAACUUCUUUUAUAUGGGAAUAAAAUGUUCCACGUGUGCCAUUUUGUAUGUACUUUAUGAAUAAGGAUCGGCUAACUCCGUGCCAGCAGCCGCGGUAAUACGGAGGAUCCGAGCGUUAUCCGGAUUUAUUGGGUUUAAAGGGAGCGUAGGUGGGUUGUUAAGUCAGUUGUGAAAGUUUGCGGCUCAACCGUAAAAUUGCAGUUGAUACUGGCAGUCUUGAGUACAGUAGAGGUGGGCGGAAUUCGUGGUGUAGCGGUGAAAUGCUUAGAUAUCACGAAGAACUCCGAUUGCGAAGGCAGUUUACUAAACUGCCACUGACAUUGAUGCUCGAAAGUGUGGGUAUCAAACAGGAUUAGAUACCCUAGUAGUC